rnacentral:rRNA from 1 species
AUACGAAGGGGGCUAGCGUUGCUCGGAAUGACUGGGCGUAAAGGGCGUGUAGGCGGUUUGUACAGUCAGAUGUGAAAUACCCCGGGCCGUUAACCUACGGGAGGCUGCAUUUGUAGACGUGCUAGACUAGAGUGUGAGAGAGGGUUGUGGAAUUCCCAGUGUAGAGGUGAAAUUCGUAGAUAUUGGGAAGAACACCGGUGGCGAAGGCGGCAACCUGGCUCAUUACUGACGCUGAGGCGCGAAAGCGUGGGGAGC